UUACCUGUCACCACUACCGUCAACUUAUUCGAUUUCAAGUAUCGACCAUCCACCUCCGUCUCCUCCAAUCAUAUCACCAUCGUUUAUUACCCUACGACCAAAAAAUCCUUGAACUUUAAACUAUCGUCUUCUCAAACAGAAAAGGAAAAGACGAAGUACGACGAUGGAAUAAGUGGAGCAAGAGAAACCUGGCCUCCCACAAUGACGGCGGAGGGAAGAACAUCCUAGACAGAAGCAAAAACGGAAUCUUCACUGCCGUAGUCGCCGACAACAGUGUAAGAUCUUUGUAUACGAUUCACCAGACAAAUCAAACUCUCCAUAGUCACCAUGACAGAAACCUUUGUCUCUCUUUCAAAACAUAUUUCGCAAAAUCAGUUCAGGACGUCGACAGAGCUAUUCCGAAACCCCCAAAUUAAUUUGUAUGGCUUCAUCGAUUUGUUCCACCUUUAAUUUCUAAAACAAGUGUUAUCUCCUACUUCACCGCCGCAACGUCCGCCACCGGUGUUCAUCCGCUAAGUCGGGAGUUCUCUAUGAUGACUUUGUAUUAAAAAUUAGGGAUUAGAGACCGUUGACCCUGCCUCCUAAUUUCUCUUUUUUUUGCUAUAACAAGUAUUCACUUCUCUUCCUAUUGAUUUAGAUCGCAGGUCGGUUGAAAUCUUAGCUACGUAAAGUUUGUAAGCUUUCCGUUUGAAUACGAGUUUUUCAAGUCCACGCUUCCACCAAAGGUAUCUCGGAUUAACGCCUUUGUCAGUUUGUUUCUUCUUAUGCGUGUCUAUGUGUUCUCACAAUUUUUCAAAUUACGAAUGGUUGUUCUACAGUCAAAUGACCAACGAAGGUUCGAUCGAGGACUUUUCCCGACUUCUUUCAUAACGGAAACUUCAAUCGACAAGCUUCUCAAGUUUCUUUCACAAUGAAUCCUUCAAUUGACAUGUUUGCCUAGUUUCGUCUACAAAUUUCCCUCUUCCAUCCAUGGUAUUAUCGUUUUUCUGUUAAGUUGGUUAUUUUUUAAAUUAAGGUGGUUUUAAAUUAAAUUGAUAGAAUUCAUGAGCAAACUGCAACGAAACGAAACCUAAAGGUAAUUUAAAUAAGUUCUUGAGAAAUAACCUGGGAAAUUGAGGGGAAAAUGAAGUUAUUUAAUCAACUAUUGAUAUACUCCUGCGGAAGAUGACUCAAAAAUAGUUUUGUGAUGGAAAAUUUUGAUCUUUUCUCUCUGGUAAAUUUUGGUGAUUACUAACUAUCAAUCAUCCUCAUUUUAUGAAUUUCAUUCAGAUUAUUGAUUUACUCCUGUAUAAAAUUUUUCAGAAAUAGUUUUGCAAUGGUUAGAUAGGUUAGUAUUUUCUUACGUGUUAGAAAAGUUGUAUAGUUUUUGCAUCCAAGAGUAAUUUCUUUUUAAUAUUUUAUUUUACAGAAUGAUGGCUUACUUAACACAACAGAACUUGCAAGAAUAGAACUAAAGAACACAAUUUAUGUAAGAUUCCAUGUAUCCUGGGUAAUUAAUUUUCCCUUCAUUUUCUAUUAUUUGAAAUGAGAUUUUUUGUCAAAUUAAGUUUGGAUUUUUUUUUGCAGAUAAGAAACUUCAUCUAAAGCUAUGCUUCAUUAAUUCAAUCACUCGAAAAAAAAGACAACAAUGACUCUAAACACUACAUGUUUAAAAAGUCGGCUUAAAUUUUUUGUGUUAUAUAUAUUUAACAGUAUAAUUUGAUCUGGCUAGUGUCGUGAAUGAAAUUCUUUCUACAAAUCUUCCUAUCAAAUUAAAUAGUGACAUGUACAUCAUUUAAUGAUAUUUUGAUAUAAUAAUAUGACACAUGUCAUCAUUCAAUUGGGUAAAAAGAUUUAUAGGAAGAAGAGUAAAGGGAUAUUUAGUUUCUCCGACCAAUAAAAAAGCAACUCACAUAUUCCACCACUUUUUUCCCUUUUCCUUUGUAACAAUAUAAAAAAAAAACGUAGGACCCGUUUUUCUGAAAGCGUGUGAAGAAGAUGGGCGAAGAAGACGACCAAAACCUAUACAGCUGGACAUUCAUAUUUGUUUGAACAAAUUAUACGGAUGGUCCUUUAACUUUAUAGUUUUUCCCUGAUAUGGUCCCUACGAAACUUUUUUCCCUGAGAUGGUUCCUACGGACUAAACUUUGCACACAAAAGGUCCUUAUGACUAACUUUGUUAAAAGAUUCUGUUAAGUAUAUGUGAAAAGACGAAAAUGCCCUUUGUUUUUGUUUUUUUAUAUUUAUUUUAAUAUGAUGUCAAAUUGAAAUAAAAAAUAGGGUAUUCUCUCUCUCUCUCUCUCUCUCUCUCUCUCUCUCUUUUUCUCUCUCUCGUUAAAUUACUCCUUCUCUUUCUACCCCCACCUAUCUUCUCUUCCCGUUUUUAUUCACCACUGGCCAAGGAAGAGACUGCCAGCCACUAGAACUGCCCCUUCCUUCCUCUUUCUGUCGCAAUCCAGCUCCACAAACACUCCCUAUAGCUGUUGUUGUCCCCCUAGAUCUCUGCAGCCUUGCCAAAACGCUUGGUCACCGGAAAAAUGAACCAGAAGAAAGGAGGAUGUUGCCUCCGAUCUGGCCCCCUCCACCUCCUUCUCUAGUUGAGUAGCAUCACCCCAAACACCCUAUGUUUCUGUUUUGCUCGAUCCAUGCCUCCCCUUCUCCUUGCAUUCUAUUGUCUGAAAAAGAAAGAAGAACCGAUGAGGGAGUUGUCGGAGCAACCCCUCGCUAGAACCAUCGUCGAUCUAGCUGCUUCCUUUUCCCCUUCAUUGGUGGUCGUCGGUGACAAGAAAAGAUCCACAAAGGGUCGUCGGAGGUGGGUUGCUCCUCGUCGCGAUCUGCUUGACCACCAUAGCUUCCCGAUCAUCACUUUCCAUUUGUGUUUCUUUUUCUGCUUCUCCGACUAGACAAUAAACGAUGAGCAUUUCCCCAUCGUUUGUGUUGUUGGAUCUCUGGUGGAUCUACAAUUGAUGUCUGAUCUAAAGAGAGAGAGAGAGAGAGAGAGAGAGAGAGAGAGAGAGAGAGAGAGCGAGAGAGNGGAAGAGUAAUGAUAGAAAGAGGAAGAGAGAGAGAGAGAGAGAGAGAGAGAGAGAUCAUUUAUGUACAAAAAAUAAAGGGCAUAUUCGUCAUUUACAAUUACUUAACAGAAUCUGUUAACACAGUUAGUCAUAAGGGCCUUUUCGUGCAAGGUUUGCUCCGUAAGGAUCAUCUCAGGGAAAAAAGUUUCGUAGGGACCAUAUUAGGGAAAAACUAUAAAGUUAAAUGACCAUCCGUGUAAUUUCUUCUAUUUGUUUUAAUUGAAUUUACAUAUUUGAUCUCUAAGAUUCUAUCAUUUAAUUUUAUUAUACCCUUUCAUUUUUUUUGAAUUAAAUUAAACCCUCAACUAUAUAUAUUUAGUUAAUUUUAAAAAUUAAUAAUAUGUUUAUUUGAUUUUAUAAUUUGUAAAAUUAUUACUUAAGCUUAUUAUUAUGUUUUUUUUAAUCUAAUGCUAAAAAAAAAUUAAAAAAGAAAAAUAUAAAUAAUAUGGAGUGGUAACUAUUUCCUAUAUCUAGUGGGUUGGAAGAAUAUCGGAUUAUACUUCUUCACACUGAAGCCUCUUUAGAUUAUUUAUGCAAUCUUGCCCCUCUCAUGUACUAUUCACUAAUUAUAAUAUAAAUCUAUAAAAUAAGUUUUAAACUAUUUUCUUAUAUAUAUAUAUANNNNNNNNNNNNNNNNNNNNNNNNNNNNNNNNNNNUAUAUAUAUAUAUAUAUUCCAAGAAUCUUGUGGAUUCGAGUAAAAGAAUUUCCUGUCGACAAAGUUUUUACUAGAUAGAUUGAAAGGGUGGGUGGAUAAAACUCCAAAAAAGGUGUUUUUCAUUAAAUAAACAACAAUGUAUUUUACCUAGAAUUUUGAUAAUAGCAAUGUACUUUGAUUUUUAAUCGUAAUAGAAAUCUACUUAUAAAUUCUUCAUGAUUAUUACUAAAAUCUAAAGUCUGAUCAGUUUGGAAGUAGGUUGCUAUUAUGAGUAAAGGUGAAUGUGUGAAUGGAUUGGAUUUUUUUUACAAAUAUCCCAUGUCAAGUUUGAAUUUUAUGCUUCUAAAAUAUUAUAUUUAAUAGGCAUGGAUUUUUUUUAAGGGUAUCACUUAAUUGUAUGAAAUUAUGUAUUAUAAUCCAAUUGCUCCUAUUACAUAUAUCUUGCAUUUAUUAACUUCAAUGAUGUUGAUGAAUAAUCACAGGGUACUGAUAUAAUGUCAUUUGUUUUGAAGGUACUUUCUCAACGUGAUCUUAAACAGUGGUGUAGUAAGUGUUUUGUUUUAGGGUAUGCUAAAUAAUAUAUAAAAUAUGAACAAGUGAAAAAAUUCUUCAAACGAUAACAAAAUAAUUAUAUAUGUAUUCUUAACUAAAUUUUUUAUUUUAAGUUGCAAACGAUGUUAUCUUACAUUAUUAAAAUAAUGUAAAAUGGAGUCUAAUUUAUAUA
rnacentral:lncRNA from 1 species